UACGUAGGGUGCAAGCGUUGAUCGGAAUUACUGGGCGUAAAGCGCACGUAGGCGGCUUUCUAAGUCAGGGGUGAAAUCCUGGAGCUCAACUCCAGAACUGCCUUUGAUACUGGGAAGCUCGAGUCCGGAAGAGGAGUGUGGAAUUCCUGGUGUAGCGGUGAAAUGCGCAGAUAUCAGGAGGAACACCAAUGGCGAAGGCAGCACUCUGGGACGUGACUGACGCUGAGACGCGAAAGCGUGGGGAGCAAACAGG
rnacentral:rRNA from 1 species